GUUCUUUCUUUGGCAGCAUAUAUACUAGAAUUGGAGUGAUACAGAGAUUAGCAUGUCCCUUCUGCAAGGAUGACACAACUAUGUGGUGUUCCAUGUUUUU
rnacentral:snRNA from 1 species